rnacentral:tmRNA from 1 species
GGGGGUGAUAUGGCUUCGACGUAGGUGAUGGAACCCAAGGUGCAUGCCGAGGUACAGUCUACCUCGUUAAACCGGCUGUAAAAAAUAGUUGCCAACGACGACAACUACGCUCUGGCUGCUUGACGGCCAGCCUCUUACUGAGUCGUGCCUGUGCGCUCAGAGCCUUGCGUAAUACAAGGCGUUUCUAAGGGGUCACAUUUACACAAGCUCGCCAUGAAGCCUUGUCCCGGGUGGAUUGGUUAAAACUCUUGGGGCUCGCUAUGCCCAUCCCUGUCUUGUCUGGGUAGGUAUGGUUAAAUAUAAAGACAGACUAAGCAUGUAGGACCGAAGGUGAAGUGCUUGCGGACGCGGGUUCGAUUCCCGCCACCUCCACCA